rnacentral:snoRNA from 1 species
AAGACUAUACUUUCAGGGAUCAUUUCUAUAGUUCGUUACUAGAGAGGUUUCAAUAUUACUCAGCCAUAAAAAAAAAACGAAAUUGAGUUAUUUGU